GACGAACGCUGGCGGCGUGCCUAAUACAUGCAAGUAGAACGCUGAAGGAAGGAGCUUGCUCUUUCCGGAUGAGUUGCGAACGGGUGAGUAACGCGUAGGUAACCUGCCUGGUAGCGGGGGAUAACUAUUGGAAACGAUAGCUAAUACCGCAUAACAGCAGAUGUUGCAUGAUAUCUACUUAAAAGGUGCAAUUGCACCACUACCAGAUGGACCUGCGUUGUAUUAGCUAGUUGGUGAGGUAACGGCUCACCAAGGCGACGAUACAUAGCCGACCUGAGAGGGUGAUCAGCCAGACUGGGAGUGAGACACGGCACAGACUCCUACGGGAGGCAGCAGUAGGGAAUCUUCGGCAAUGGACGGAAGUCUGACCGAGAAACGCGGCGUGAGGGAAGAAGGUUUUCGGAUCGUAAAGCUCUGCUGUCAGAGAAGAACGCGUGUGAGAGUGGAAAGUUCACACUGUGACGGUAACUUACCAGAAAGGGACGGCUAACUACGUG
rnacentral:rRNA from 1 species